GAAUUCUUCACUUCUCUCAUUGACUUCUCAAACUCCAAACCACGGCCUGGUCCGCUUGGUCUGUUUCACAAGCGUUCCAGGAAGUCUCUGAUGUUGCACAUCUGGGUUCAGAAACUCUGUGAUUUUUAUGUUACUGUUUUUUUGCCAAAGUAUAUUUACGGUACUUCGAUACGAUUUAGUUUUUCAGUUUAUAUUUCUUUAUUUGUGUGUUUAAAAAAAACAAACAUCUGUUUUGUAUUUAUUACAAUUUUUUAUUUUUACUCCAAAGUAUUGUGUAUUAACUUGCCCGCGGUGUUGGGUAAUACUGAACGUUCAGACAUCGUGGGCGGCAGGUAGCCUCGUGGUUCGAUCGUUGGGCCACUUGUUGAAUAUAUUCAGUCGUUCUCCAAAUCCUGAAGCUACUUUACCUUGAUAUAUGCAUGCUGAAUUUGGAUUUACAUUUGGGAUUUUGUUUGUUGCACCAAAACUCCCUGUACUGUGUACUUUAUAACUGAGCUUCAUGUCCAGUUUUUCAUAACUCUCUCAUUGCCACAAAUUAUAUAAUAAUAAUAAUUAUAAGAUACUUUUAAAAAAAUAUACAAAAAAUUUAAAUGACUUUAAACUUUUAUUUAUACUCAUUAAUUUCCCAAUACUUCCAAACAUGUUGUUGAACUGUAUUGUAAAAUAUGAUAUAUAUAUAUAUAUUAUAUAUAUAUAAUAUAUAUUAUGUGUGUUACAGGUAAAAGGGCAUAAGAAUAGAGGUACUCAAUCAUUCAAAGACACCUACUGUGUGCCUGUGUGUGAAGAUCAGGAAUCUGCAACGUUUGGGUAUUUUUACCAACUAUCUUUACUGCAAUAUACAUAGUUUAAAAUAAUAAUAAUAAUAAUAAUAAUAAUAAUAAUAAUAAUAAUAAUAAUAAUAAUAAUAAUAAUAAUAAUCUUUCCUUGAAAUCUACAGGAACUUGAUAGACCAUUUUCUUAAAUAAUGAAACAUACAAACAUGUCACAGACAUUAUGUGAGUGUCAUUAACAUGUACAAAAGGGUUAUUUUGAUUUCGAUGGGAGACGUGUAAACAAUGUGAACAGCUCUGUGUAGGGAGUAGGGAGGUGUUUCACCCUAGGUCUCUGUGUAGGGAGUAGGGAGCUGUUUCACCCUAGGUCUCUGUGUAGGGAGUAGGGAGGUGUUUCACCCUAGGUCUCUGUGUAGGGAGUAGGGAGGUGUUUCACCCUAGGUCUCUGUGUAGGGACUAGGGAGGUGUUUCACCCUAGGUCUCUGUGUAGGGAGUAGGGAGGUGUUUCACCCUAGGUCUCUGUGUAGGGACUAGGGAGCUGUUUCACCCUAGGUCUCUGUGUAGGGAGCUGUUUCACCCUAGGUCUCUGUGUAGGGAGUAGGGAGCCGUUUCACCCUAGGUCUCUGUGUAGGGAGUAAGGAGCUGUUUCACCCUAGGUCUCUGUGUAGGGAGUAGGGAGCUGUUUCACCCUAGGUCUCUGUGUAGGGAGUAGGGAGCCGUUUCACCCUAGGUCUCUGUGUAGGGAGCUGUUUCACCCUAGGUCUCUGUGUAGGGACUAGGGAGGUGUUUCACCCUCGGUCUCUGUGUAGGGAGUAGGGAGCCGUUUCACCCUAGGUCUCUGUUGAGGAAAACGUCAUUUGAAUCAUCAGUACGGUAAGGGGAUCUUGUUAUAGUGAAACAGACGGAAACGGCCCGGACAAAAUAAAUAACAACAACAAAACAUUGCAAAUGAAGUUUUUUGAAAUAAAUGAUCGUCUGGCUAAGCCAAACAUUCUACGACAUAAUGUUUUCCUCUUUUUCAUGAAUUCUAAAACUUUGUAUGUUUUAUUGUCAACAGGAAUGAGUAUUAAUGUAAUUAUUAUUAUUAUUAUGAUUAUUGUCAUGGCUAUUACUAAUAUUAGUGGCAGGCCACUGGGUAACAUUGUAUGUUGAUAUCCAAAUGAUAAUGAUGAAAUGUUUAUGAGUUUUAAAAACAAAUAAAAAGAUAAGACCACCAGGACUGUGUCAUUGUUCUGUUAAACACUGAGAUUAUUGAUAGUUCAUCUAAAUCAAUUAUUCAUCUAAUCAAUCAAUUAAAAUCAACAUGACACCUUUAUGUGGGGC
ensembl:lncRNA